rnacentral:tRNA from 1 species
GCGGAUAUGGCGGAAUUGGUAGACGCGCUAGCUUCAGGUGCUAGUGCCAGCAAUGGCGUGGAGGUUCAAGUCCUCUUAUCCGCACCA